GGACACGUGCCCGAAACACAAAGGAUCACCUUGAUAGGGUGAAAGAUAGAGGUUAGUAAUCCUCUCGUCUCCU
rnacentral:tRNA from 2 species